rnacentral:sRNA from 1 species
ACACCGUCUAAUUGGAUUAGUACAUUCGAAGUGGAUAAGUAGGCUUUGGUUCACCAGUCCAUGCCUAAAUUCCUUGAGGUAAACAGAUCUUCAACGUAGAGAAUUACUGGUCCAGAUGCUCUGAUGAAAGUCUGCAUUUGAACCUUUGCUCACUCACCAUCUUCAUUCAAUUUCUUCAGGAGCUGCGAUUUUGAGGGAAGGGCGUACAUUCCAGCAGCAACGGCUUUCCUUAUGGCCCACCCAUGGUGAGGAGCAAAAACCUGAGCAUAAGCCUUAGAUGCUGCAUCCCUUAAGGAGUUGCCCCUGAAAUUAUAUUUGCUCAAACAGAAUUUUAACCAUAUCAAUCCCACGCUUAACCCUCAGCAUAUUCCUAGU